rnacentral:rRNA from 1 species
GACUCCUACGGGAGGCAGCAGUAGGGAAUCUUCCGCAAUGGACGAAAGUCUGACGGAGCAACGCCGCGUGAGUGAUGAAGGUUUUCGGAUCGUAAAGCUCUGUUGUUAGGGAAGAACAAGUGCCGUUCGAAUAGGGCGGCACCUUGACGGUACCUAACCAGAAAGCCACGGCUAACUACGUGCCAGCAGCCGCGGUAAUACGUAGGUGGCAAGCGUUGUCCGGAAUUAUUGGGCGUAAAGCGCGCGCAGGUGGUUUCUUAAGUCUGAUGUGAAAGCCCACGGCUCAACCGUGGAGGGUCAUUGGAAACUGGGGAACUUGAGUGCAGAAGAGGAAAGUGGAAUUCCAAGUGUAGCGGUGAAAUGCGUAGAUAUUUGGAGGAACACCAGUGGCGAAGGCGACUUUCUGGUCUGUAACUGACACUGAGGCGCGAAAGCGUGGGGAGCAAACAGGAUUAGAUACCCUGGUAGUCCACGCCGUAAACGAUGAGUGCUAAGUGUUAGGGGGUUUCCGCCCCUUAGUGCUGCAGCUAACGCAUUAAGCACUCCGCCUGGGGAGUACGGUCGCAAGACUGAAACUCAAAGGAAUUGACGGGGGCCC